rnacentral:rRNA from 1 species
UACGUAGGUGGCAAGCGUUGUCCGGAUUUACUGGGCGUAAAGAGCGCGCAGGCGGUCGUUCAAGUCGGAUGUGAAAGCCCCCGGCUCAACUGGGGAGGGUCAUUCGAUACUGAUCGACUCGAAGGCAGGAGAGGGAAGCGGAAUUCCCGGUGUAGUGGUGAAAUGCGUAGAUAUCGGGAGGAACACCAGUGGCGAAGGCGGCUUCCUGGCCUGUUCUUGACGCUGAGGCGCGAAAGCCAGGGGAGCAAACGGG